AGUGUAUCGACCUAAUGGUUCGGAGAAGUGGCCCGCCCAUGAAGACUGCAUGUGUGUAUUCUUAACGCUAACAAAAAUAAUAAUUUAUAGUUGAAUAUAUUCCAAAAUCGUCAAAUAGUGUUAUUGGCGUAGGUACUUGAUUUUUGUACGAAUAUAGUUUAGUGGUAGAGUAUUCGACUGCAGAUCGAGAGGUUCAAACCCUUAAUAUCACAAAAUUUAUUUCAAUUUUUUGCUUACUUUAGCUCGUUUAUUAUUAAUUUCUUCCAAUAAAAGUAGGUAUAUUGCUUCUGAAACAAUAUUUACAAUAGUUACAUUUUAAAAUAUCAGUCAAUAAUGACCUUGCUGAGCAUUCCAAUGUAUUUAUUUUAAAGACAUUGAUUUCAAAUUGAUUGUAUUUUUACUGUUUUUGCUAUUAUCAAUUAGCAAUUAUUAUGCUCAUUGUUAUCUUAUUUUUAAAAACAUGUAUUUGCACUAACGAGGAGUUAAAAGACGACCGUUCAUGAAGACAAGGAUCUAGGUACACCCCAGUAAUUUCGGCCUGAAAGCUUCGAAACACAAAACUAUCACAAAACAAACGAACUGUCAAUACGGAUUGACAGUUCACUGACAACAUAACCUUUCUUUUUUGCUUCAAUUUCAAUCUCAAAUCACAAAUGUUUAUCAUGUUUAUUUAUUUAACUACUACACUACAUAGAAUAGAAUAUUUUGUAUCCAAAAUUAUUGGUCCGUUAGUCAAGAAAAUAAAGCAAUGAUAAAAUAGAUAAAAGUUGUGUAAUUACUAGUCCAGAUCACGUUAAUCCUGCGACCUACCAGAAAAUAGUGAAAAGCUUAUCUUCAGAGUUCGGGGCAAAAUAAAAAUCCACGGGACCGAGACAGCAGUGUGAGUGUGCGGUUUCAGUCGGGUAAAAAGGUGUUCGAUAAGCGAAUUGCAACAUUUACAGAAAUUAUUCUUUGUGGAGCCAGGAAUUUGACAAAGUGAGCUAGCAAGCAAGCACUAUAAAAACAACUAAUUAUUUUUCUAAGAGAAAAAGUCACCUUUAUUGAUGUGUUGUUUAUAGUGAGAAAAAUUGUGAUUUGCUAAUAUUCCUGUUUAACACUACUAAAAUCACAAUAAAGAUGCAAUAGAAAUAAACAAACCAAGACAUGUUGAAUGUUAAAAGGAGUACUCCUAAAUAAUCAUUUACAAUAUUAUAUACAUUGUAAAUCCCAAAUCAUGUUUUAACAAAAUUUAUACAUUGUAAAUCAUGAUUCUGGAGUGCUCUUCGUAACAUCCAAUGUGCCUUGGUUUGUUUAUUUCUAGUGCAUCUUUAUUGUGAUUUUAGUAUAGAUAUGUGGACAUAUUGAUUUGAUGUGCUAAUAUAAUAUUUAAAAAGUA
rnacentral:lncRNA from 1 species